GACGAACGCUGGCGGCGUGCUUAACACAUGCAAGUCGAACGGCAAGGCCCUUCGGGGUCCUCGAGAGGCGAACCGGGUAGUGACACGUGGGGGAUCUGCUCUGCACUUUGGUUUUAGUCUGGGAUACUGGGUCUAAUACCGCGUAGGACCACGCGCCUACUGGUGUGUGGUGGCAAGCUUUUGCGGGGUGGGAUGGGCCCGCGGCCUAUCAGCUUGUUGGUGGAGGAAUGGGCUACCAAGGCCCCGACGGGUAGCCGGCCUGAGAGGGUGGCCGGCCACAAGGGGCCUGCGGUACGGACCAGACGCCUACGGGAGGCAGCGGUGGGGAAUAUUGCACAAUGAGCCCAAGCCUGAUGCAGCGACGCCGCGGUAGGGAUGACGGCCUUCGGGUUGUAAACCGCUGUCAGUUGGGACGAAGCGGAAGUGACGGUACCUAUAGAAGAAGCACCGGCCAACUACGUG
rnacentral:rRNA from 1 species